AGAGUUUGAUCCUGGCUCAGAUUGAACGCUGGCGGCAUGCCUAACACAUGCAAGUCGAACGGCAGCACAGUCGUAGCAAUACGAUGGGUGGCGAGUGGCGGACGGGUGAGUAAUGCAUCGGGACCUACCUGAACGUGGGGGAUAACGUAGGGAAACUUACGCUAAUACCGCAUACGUCCUACGGGAGAAAGCGGGGGAUCUUCCGGACCUGCCGCGGUCAGACGGACCGAUGUUCGAUUAGCUAGUUGGUAGGGUAAUGGCCUACCAAGGCGACGAUCGAUAGCUGGUCUGAGAGGAUGAUCAGCCACACUGGAACUGAGACACGGUCCAGACUCCUACGGGAGGCAGCAGUGGGGAAUAUUGGACAAUGGGCGCAAGCCUGAUCCAGCAAUGCCGCGUGUGUGAAGAAGGCCUUCGGGUUGUAAAGCACUUUUAUCGGG
rnacentral:rRNA from 1 species